ACUGAGCCGGACAAUCUUCUCUCUUCUCUCUUCGAUGAGAGCCCACGCACUUCCCCGGUGUUUCCAUGGAUCAAGUAUGCAGUCAUUUGCGCAUCUCCAGUCAGAACAGAACCUGCACAAACGUUUUCCCCAUGGCACAUUUUCUGGCUGGCACCUGCAUUGCCUUCAUUGUUGUUUAUAUUAGUAAUAAUAGCCUUGGAUAUGUGUGUGUUCCUAUCAAAGUUGCUACAAGGGCUUGGACUCGUCCGCUUGGCAAAUGACUGUGAAAGGAAAGUUUUGACCCUUGCCUGUCCUGACUCUGAGCCCGCCUGUCUGACCACUCUGCCUGACCCUGAGCCUGCCUGGCAUCCUGACCACUCUGCCUGACCCUGAGCCUGCCUGCCAUCCUGACCACUCUGCCUGACCCUGAGCCUGCCUGCCUGCCUGACCACUCUGCCUGACCCUGAGCCUGCCUGCCUGCCUGACCACUCUGCCUGACCCUGAGCCUGCCUGCCAUCCGGUACCGUUGCCUCACCUCUGGUUUACUGACCCCUGCCUGCCUUGACCUGUCUAUUGUCUUCCCCUGUUCGAUUAUUAAUCCAUUGAUAAUUCAACUUUAUCUACAUCUGGAUCUUACCUUCAUAUCUGAUAGACUUGUCCUUAUGUUAGGUCCAGAUGUGGCUAUGCCAAAUGGCUGUGGGCUACACUAGCUCAUUUACCAGACAGGAAUUGCUUAUAUUGUUUUGAUGUUUAAUACAUUGUAAGGCGACAUGAUGAGACC
ensembl:lncRNA